CCCCUUCAUCCUCCCCCGGUCCGCCAUCGUCGCCACUACACCACCGCGAGGAAACCUAACCCUAGUAGCACCUCCGCCGCCAUGCCCCCCACACCCUCCGCGUCUCCUCGGGCCACCACCGAACGAGUCCGAACACCCCACCCCACCCCACCCCACCCCACCACACCACGCCGCCACUCACCACCGACCGGAAAUCCCCCGAUUGCCGCCGAAUUUCCACCGGAUUUGUCCGAAUCGGGGCGGCUCCGCGCGCGCGUGGGGGUAGAGGGCGCCCGCCUCCGGCUCAGCGCGCGAGGCGCGGGGAGGCUCUCCGCGUCCGUACAGCCGCUCUCGCCAACGGCCGCGCGGGCUGCGCGGAUCUGCGCGCUGCGCGAGCGCCGGUGGCCGCGGCUUCGCCUCGCGAGCUCUCGGGGAGAAGAGAGAGAGAGAGAGAAGAGAGAGACUGUUCGGGCCGUGGAAAUGGGAAGGCGCGGCCCUUUUGUAUCGCGGGCGGAUCUGACCGCCGACAGGUGGGGCCAUCCGGUUACUGGGCCCACGUAUCAGUGAUACGUGGCGGGGUUCUCGUGGGUGCACUGCAUUUGCUCAUCUCGUCCCGUUUCUACGUGACUCUUCGAGUACCCGCGGCCAAUGACAGGUGGGGCCGUGCUGUUCGCGGGCCCACGGGAUGAGAGGGCCAGGGGGGUCGGCGAGACGGCGUGGGGUCCAUCUGUCAGCGGCGUUAGAGAUGUUGCGCGCGUCAGGUCGGUGCGCGUUGCUUCGAUUUAUUUUCCGUGGCGUCACAGACAUGUGGGAACGAUUUUACUGGGGCCCCACAUGUCAUUGGGUGGGUAGGAUUGGUACAGCUCGCUCGUCGUGUGCCUGGGUUGCCCUGACGUGCGCUUUGACCGCCGAGAGACGCGCACGAGACAGGGGAGGGACAGGGUGGGCCCACGGUGUCCCUCACGGGGGUGUGCUGUUUCCCGGUGUGUUUGCGCAAUCCUGUACCCACCCGGGCCCACCUGUCAGUGAGCAAGUGGUCGGGGCGGUCAGCUACGUGAUGGCGUAGGUUUGACUUCCCGCCGUUAAUGGUAGGUAGACGCCUACCAAAUUAGCCCCUGUGGGGGUCCACCUGUCAGUAUGGGAGUAGAAUCCAGCGUUAGCUUAAUUGGGAUAUCCCCUCCAUCCUCUUUAAUUUCUUACUAGCAUAUUCGAUCAUUAUAGCUAUGUAAACCACGAGAUGAAUCUUUUGAGCAUAAUUAAUUCGUCAUUAAUAUAUGCGGGUUACUAUAGCAUUUAUGUCUAAUCAUGGACUAAUUAGGCUCAAAAGAUUCAUCUCGCGAUUUUCCCUUUAACUGUACAAUUUGUUUUUUUUAAUCUAUAUUUAAUGCUCCAUGGAUAUGUCUAAAGAUUUGAUGUGAUGUUUUUAAAAAAAAAUUAGGGACUAAACCAGGCCAAAAUCCUUUACACGUGCAACUGCUCAACCUUUACCGGUGCAACCGAGCAAGAUGAACCUUGUAUUUGAGCAAGGAUGAACCUCUUGAAUUGCUGAUUGCUGGCAGAGGAUAAAACUUUUUUUCCAUAAUCUCGGAAUUAGUGCCAGAUUGAGUAAGCAUGUUGAUUUGCUGCUAACUAGAACAUGAAUAAUGGUACGAUUUUAGUGUCCAAGAGGAGAUGAGAUAUCACGUAGUGUCUAAAAGCAAGCAAACCUUAUUUUUCGGUUACCAAAAUUACAGCGAAAUUUAGUGUCUAAAAGCAAGCAAACCGUAUUUUUCGGUUACCAAAAUUACCAACGAAAUAAAUUCCGUCGGAUUUUCGUCCAUACGGGAAAAAAUAAUCUAGUUGAUGCGUCCUCUCUCAAACGAAUGAACUGUUGGGCUAAAUUUUUCUCCACAUGGAGCUUUUGCUCUCAGCCCAUUGCAACCCAAAAGUCCAACAAAUGUGAGCCUCCAUUGAAAGAGUAGAGAGUAGCGGCUAUUGAGGAGGAGAAGAAACUAGAAAAACACAAGAGAAAUGAGAGGAGAGUGGAGAAGAAGAUUUGCAGUUUGUUAAGCUUGGUGGCUCUUACCCGAUCUUCAUUAAAUUAGCGAUUGGAGGUUCAUAUGUGGUUGGAUUGGUUCCUCACUUUGAGCACUUCAAUCUAGUUAGUUUAUGUGAGGAUUGGUUGAGAAGAGCACCAGAUUUGAAUAGUAGUUUAUCAGGUCGAGUUACUGCAGUUACAGUUUGUACAACAUUUAGUAGAAUGUCAGUUCGAGGGGUCAAACGGUGUCCAAAUGGGCUGUUUUUGGACAGCUUGGAAGGGACUCAUAGACCAUCGUUUCUGCCUCAUACAAUUUGCAUACAUGGUUUGGGAUAUCUCGUCUGAGAACCAAAGAGGACAAAAAUAUACUAUUUCUCUAAUUGUUUAUUGAUAUACCUCUUGUUAGUUUUGAUGGUUGAUGUUGUGAUACCAAGUGUGUAACUUGAUGUUAUAGCUGAUGUUGUGAUGUGCCUCUAGAUGUUCUAGAGAAGACUCCAUUUGUACCUAUUUGCUGAUUAUAGUGGAAGUUUGGAGUGGACCGUUAGUCCCAUGGUUUUUUACUCCUCACAUCAAUGAGGUUUUCCAUGUAAAUCAUCGUGUCCCGUUGGCCGCAUCCUCGCCGGAGCUCUGCCAGAAGUCUGCCGGAGAUCCGUCGGACUCUCACUUGGAGCCGCCACCGGAGCAGGCAUCGGCCCCUCAUCAAGUAAUCAAGUAAGUCCCUCAAAUCCUGUCUCUUUCCCUAAUCCCUAAUCUUCUCCAUACGUGUGGAAAUUUUAAUCUUCUUCCUUGAGCAUUGGCCUGUAGCAUUUGGUAGUUGAAAACAUUGAAAACACGAUCUGAAAACAAGUGACCAUGAUUUUCCUUUUUUGUUGAAUUUAGUGAACAAUCAAAUAAUUACAUUACAUUGAGGUGAUCUUCUUUUGUGAACUUUUGAAUAAAAUUUCUAACAACGGUUGCUGUAAAUUAUUUAUUUACUAUGGAAGCAAAUGUAUGAUGCUGCUGUUGCAAAUGAAAUCUUCAAAAUGUGACUACUAUGGAAGUAAAUUAUUUAUUUACUCUCCCAGGGAGCUUCAAUUUCAGCCCACGGAGACCCUAAUCGAGAUCCUGAAGAUACUACGUGCAGGUGAUGAUGCCUUCUUCAGAGACCAUCUUAGAGCUUGAGUAAGGCAAGGUUUUUGUUGUUUCACAUCACCAUUAAUGUCUUUGUUUCAUAAGACUGAAUUUCUUUAUGUCCCUUAGUUCAUAAUGCAUUGUUUCAUGUCUGCAUGAUUUAAUUGCAUGAUCAUAUGGUUGGAUGACCUGAAUUACAUGCUGACGAGCGAAACACAUGAGCUACUCGAGAGGAAAUACUGGCAAGCGCUGCCAUAGAAGGAUCAUGUGCCAAAUUAAAUUAAAUCUGAAGCAACAAUCGAUCUCUCAUCAGUAGUUUCCUUGCACAAUUUCAGAGAUGCCGUGUUGGUGAGGACGUGAGGUGCUCCCAUUCUGUUCUUUUGUUCGCAAAAUAGGGAUUUCCGAGGUGGAGAGCAGGACGAGGCAGCUCAGGUACCAUGGCUGUGUGCUGAUCUAAUAGUCAUGCUUGUUGUUUUAAUUGGUGAUGCUGCUCCAAUUUGUUUUUUCGCGCAGAUGGUCUUCUAUAUCUUCACAAUUGUUGUGCCCUUGUCUCUUCUCAAUCCACAUCAGGUGCGUUCAUGCUUUUAGUAAUCUAGAAGAAGUUGAUUUGUCGCUCAACAAGAUAGGCAAAAAAAAUAUAUUCUUUGAUUGGAUAUGGAUAUUAUUCUUGGUCCUAAAGUUCGCAGCAAAACAACUAUCUCUGCCAAAAAAAAUCGCAGUAUGUAACUUCAUUUUUCUUUAAGUAAACAUUCAAGGUUACAAUUUCAAGUACAUUGUCACCAGACAAAUGUGAUGUCCAGGUUUAGACUUCUAACAUGGCACAUAGUUUAGUACCAUAAUUGCUACGGAAUAAAACAAUUAUUGGAGGGCCAUUUGUCUAGAACAACAUGGUCAAUUUACCAAAGCUAAGGAUAGGAGAGGUUAAACGAGGAAGCAUGUUUUGGGGCUAAGUGAGUCGAGAUAAUAUAUACCAGCGCUGUAUGUUGAGGACUUGAGGUAUGUCUAUUGAAACUGUGCAGCCCCUAUCAAUUGAUUUGCAUCCAUUCUUUCUUCCGAACUUUACUAAUGCUGAUUUCAUGUCAUGUUCAGCCGACAGCGUGGCUGGUGUCAGCAGUAUAAUUAUCUUGUUUUAGUCUGCUCAUCUCUUGGUUAGGAGCAGAUAAAAUUAUGCUUACAUAUGAGAAGUUGAGUACUGCACCUCAGGUAUUAUCACAUCACACUCAGGUGGUUUCUUAGAUUUUAGAUCCCAUUUUACAACAAGGAUUGCGUAAAGUACACAACAAGGAUUCGUGUUUUACGGAAAAUCUUUAAUCUAGCAGACUUAUAUAAUUUCAGCUUCCAAAUGACUUAAUUUUGCAGCGGCAAAAGUUGUCAAAUCAAAGCCUAUUAUAGGAGGAAAAUUUUGGCUGGUUCUAUUAUUAUUUUUCGUUGUUUGGAGGUAAUGUGAUGUUUUGAGAUCACUGGAGGAUUUAAAUUUGCUUGUAAUCCAGAUGAUUACCACUAAUCACUAUGAAGCCAUCCUACUAUUCUUGUAAGUAGUUACUGAGAAAUAUAUAACAUUUGUCUUUGAUCCCUAGAGAAUACCCAACUUCUUGAAGAGAAAAACCAUAUAUUUAGGAGAAUCCUAAACUAAUCUUUUGCUCUACUACUUUUCAGGCCGUAUAUGCAUAUAUCUUGGUGAGUAAUAGAUGUUCCAUGUGUCAAUGCAUCAACUAAAAUACCUGAUGAACAUGUAUAUGAUUCUUAGGAAAUUACAUCUGCAACAGCCAACUUUAUUUUUUUUUCUCAGCAUCUCAGGGCAUUAUUUUCAUCAAGAUUUUUUGCCUACGCUAAUGACUGAUGACAAGGAUUUUGAGUCCAACAAGGACCUUUGUUGAUUGCUGAAAUGCUGAAGAUACAUUGAAACUGUUUCUUGAAUAAAAAUAGAUGGCUGUGUGGGGUAACUUUCAUCUUUACAUAAUUCGGCUUUCCUAGAAUUAUUCAGUGUCUUAGUACAUGACCUUGUAAUACCUUAUGGUUACUGAAAAACACAUGUCGUACUUUUACAACUUUGUCAAAGAUUUAUGUAGAUAAAAACAUGGUAUCCAUGAGCAACGUGGUGAAACUUAAAAUAGUCUUAAUGUUUUUUAUAUUCUAAUCUUGAUUUUUUUAUGCAGUUAAUCUCAACUAAUGUCCCUGUAUUUUUUUUGGCAUGGGUUUCUUUUUUUUUUUGGGUAAUAUCUGGUUUGUAAUGUGGGAAAGGAAAAGAAACUACAAUUUUGAAGUGGUAGAGCAAGCAAAAGGUAUGUCUAUAGUUUGCUUCCUAACCUGAUUCUAUAAAUACGCACGAAUUUAGGGAACCUAUGAGCUGCAAUUAAACUUUAGAAAUUAAAUUGCAUAAACAUUAGUAGAGUCUCAUCCACUGAUAAAUAUCCAUGCUCAUUGGAAUGAGGAGCGAAGUUCCACUUGAUUAUUGUAUUCAACAAAUGCUUGAUAAAAUGAUUCAGUAGAUUAACUUUACAUCAGCAUAAAGCUAUGGAUACACUAGAUUUAGCGCAAAGCAGGGUAUUAUGAUCAGCACAUUCCAUUCCUCUGGUUCAGCUUGCAGCUUACUGAAUUAAUAAUAUUUGCUAACAUUUUACACUGUUCAUUGGUUUUGCAAGACAAUAGCAUUUCCCUUUUACAAAAGUUAGAAGAUCCUUUUACAAAAGUUAGAAGAUCCGUUCACUGUUAUUUCUAUUCUUUCUUCUGCAUGUUGAGGGCUUGAGGUAUCGCAUGGGCUCUUUGUUUUCUAGGAAAGGUGAGCAUGCUCUACUUAUUCAUUUACAUCUUAUAAUUGGAAUUAUUCUAUUUUCACAAAUUUUAGGAGCAAAUAGUGAUCACAACUUAAGUUGGCACUUUUUGAUAUAUAGUCUGGACAUUUUCAUGUCCAGUGGAGAAUAAUUUAAAUUCAGAAAUUAAAUUGUGCAAACGUGAAUGUCAUCCACUAAUAACGACCUGUUGAUUGUGAUUUUUUAGCUAGAUGCCGAUGGUGAGGUAUAAUUCAGGGUGUGUUUAGCUCACGCCAAAAUUGGAAGUUUGGUUGAAAUUGGAACGGUGUGAUGGAAAAGUUGAAAGUUUAUGUGUGUAGGAAAGUUUUGAUGUGAUAGAAAAGUUGAAAGUUUGAAGAAAAAGUUUGAAACUAUACUCGGCCUCAAUCAUUUUCCUUUCUCACCAGCUAUUGUAACAAUCAGGUGCUAUGGGCAUCGCAGUUAGAAUGCAACAAAGUGGCGGGCUGAACUUGUAUCUGCACUGCAUUGGACUUUUGGCUUCAGCAAUUUGGAGGGACUCGGGGACUUUGAAAAAAAAAAGGAGGAUCGAGGCUGACAUAUGGCUAUCUUAGAAUAUGUAUUGUGAAGAACGUACCUUGUAUGUGCACGAUUACUAGUUAUUCUUAAAGUACAUGACAAGAUGAGAGAUUGAUUGUGUGAACCAUAUUUAUCGGUUGGUGAAUUGUAGCUUGCACAUGAAUUGAUUUGGUUCAGCCCCAAUAUAAACAAGAUCAACACAACAUGAUAGCAACCCAUCAUUAUCAGUUCUUACCGUACCAAUAUCAAAAGUAACAAAUUUCAGAUGCUCAAUUCCAAUUGAUGAAAUUGUCCUCGAGAAUGAAAUGUCCCAGCAUUUUCUUUUUUUUAAAAAAAAUGAACUCCAAAUGGCUGGUUCACCCGGUUAGACAGCCUUGGCGCAAAUCGUGCAUUCAACACCGGUCUAUGAACUGUGGAGAGGUGGCUAAGCCAGCACUGCCUUUGGAUGGGGCUGAUGAGCUCGUCGUGCCUUCGCAUAGGGUUGAUGAGCUCACUGGGCUGCCGGCCAAGGCCCGAGCUUGUAGACGAAUUCGAUCGGUGGCUCGCCGACCACUCCAUCAUCUACGGCGAGGGUUUAUAAGCAGAUAAUGAUUUAAUUUAUUUCAUAAAUAAAUCCUGACACUGCAUAUGUAAACUAACAUAAAUGUAUCAUAAGAUCUACACAUGUAAACUGAUAAUAAAAUAUGAACAGAUCGAAUAUGCACAACAUGCUGAAUACGUACCGAGGGUACCGGAAAACCAGUUGCACAGCAGGAAGUACUCGCGAUUGCGGGGGUUGACGACGAUGCGCAGCACGCGAGCGAAGAGGAAGACGAGCCGUUGUGGUCGAACAGGGAGCAGUCGUGCGACGUUCCAAAAACCUUAUUUGCCGCCUUCUCCCACUGCAGGACGUUAAAGGCGAAUGUUCCGGAAACCUAUUCUCCCGAUCACCGGUGCACGCUGACGAGUGGGAUGGAGUAGACUACAAGCGAAGGCGCAGUACAGAGGAGGAGGAGGCAAACCCUAGAUUGAUUUUACGUAUGUUACGUGGAGGUGGCGACUCAACUUAUAUAGAGAUAUCAGGAUGCUUGAUCAGGACGCCUGCACGAUCUCCGCUCCGCAUAAUCGAGAACCGGAUAAGUCACGCGUAACUUAUCCGGACUCCAUGCCAUUUCAUGCACCGGAUUAUUCGGAGUGUUUCCAAAACAAACAAAUCCAAAUUUUCCACAGCAAAACAAAGCUACAAAACCGAGAACCGGACAAGUCAUGCGUAACUUAUCCAGACUCCAUGCCGUUUCACGCACCGGAUUAUUCGGAGUGUUUCCAAAACAAACAAAUCCGAAUUUCCCGCAGCAAAACAAAACUGCAAAAGGGCUAUGCCCCCCUGUUCUCUCUACGUCAUAUGCCUCAAGUGGCUAGGAGAGCAUCCCACCUUAUAAUGAGGUAUCUAUCUCCUGAAAUAGAUAAAGUGGUACUAAAGUCCCCAUGUCUACCAUCCUAUGAAGUGGGCUUUUAUGAUUUUCUAAAGAAUUAAUCUUUGAAUUGGCUAAGGCCUAUCUAUUAAUUCCAACACGUGCCGCCACAGAUGUGCUUGUCAUCUACGCCCGCCGAGUUCAUCUCGUUGCAGUCGAUAAUGUUGUAGUCGUUGCCACUCGCUGAUGAGGAUGCCGCCGCCGUAGUAGAUGCGGCCGCUGAUCGGCUUCGAUCACUCGUCACUGAUCGAGGUCAUCCGUCAUUGUCGUAGCUGCCGCCGAUAAGCUCGAGGUCACUCUGAGUGGUAUCCCCCCACAGGAGAUAACACAUGCAAACACAUAAGUAUACACGUUUCUAUUAUCAAGAGUUAUUUUAUCAAGGGCAACGAGUGUGUAUCAAUAGAAAUUGUUGGUAUUUAUCAGUCACUUGAUUUUUUUUCUUACCCAUCAAUCGACUAAACUUGAACAAUGAAUAUGCUAAACUUGCACAAUACGAAAAACUGCAAUUUUGGUAUAAAUCAGUGUAAAUUUUGUUUUUUGUUUACUAGAUUAAACAAGAUGCAUUUUUAUAUGUUUAUCUAGAUAUUUGACAUAUAUGGCAUGAUUCAUAGAAAGUUAUAAGUUUCCGAAUAGGGAGAAUUGCAUAUUUGCCACUACUUUCACCCCUUAACUCUAAAUAACCAUUAUAAAGUCACGAAUUACAAAUUUACCACUGAAAACAGUGUGCGCAGAUUCCGUAUGCCAUCGCCGUUCCAAUUCACAGAUAAAAAAAAUUCAUGAAAUUGAAUUUUAAAAAAAGGCAACGCGAUAAUACCAUGUUGCCCAUGCCAGAUUCAACCUUAUCCCUGUUCUUCCCGAAGUCUACCACAUCAGAAACAUCCACUCGAACUCCUCCUCUCCUCUCCCACGACAAACCCUAAACCUCAGAUCCUCUCAUCCUUCUUUCAAAUCAGGAGCAAAUCAACCAACAAUAUGUUACUUUAGAGUAUUAGAUGCCAAUAGAAGAGGUGCAGAUUUAUUUCGGCGAUUAGGCAAGGCAAGUGGCGGCUUUGGGCGAUGGCUGCAGCGGGCGGCGUCAGGUUUGCAGCGCGCGACUGCAGCGGGUGUCGACGUCUACUGCAGCACUUGCGGCGGCCUGGGGCAACAGCUGUAGUGGGCGUCUCCGUCGGGCGGCGUCAGGCCGCGGCACGCCGCUGCGACGGCUGUCAGCGUCGACUGCUUCAAGCGGCAUGGUGGCUAUGGUGGCCACUUUGCAAAGACAUGUCAGGGAGGACCUAUAGCUAGCAAAAGGUACUUGUCAUCCUUUUUUUUUCUUUUCAUUUGUGAAUUGGCUGCUCACUCUAGAUUUUAUACAGGAAAAGUUCGUCUUCAUUAAUAUCAUCCUCAGAUCAACACCAUUUGUAAAUUGGCUGCGCUCACUCUAGAUUCUGUACAAGGAAAAUGAUGCUUGUUGACUAUGUUCUUGCUUGUUGCCUUAAAUGGUGUUUUAUUGAGGAAGGGCAUUCUUGUCCUAAUUUUCAUGAAAACCAGCCAUAUAACGGUGUUAGUCUAAGCUUGAGUUCAGUGUCAGUUACAUUAUGUUCAAACUGUUUUUUAUGGCAAAUUUACAAUUAUAGUUUUUUUAGUUGCAGAUCCACGAUACCUGUUCAAUCCAGUGGCAAAUAUGCAAUUGACCCUUCCGAAUAACAAUUUUGUUUUAGAAAAGUUUAUGAAAUAUAUCUAACGAAUUGAUGAUAUCGUGAUAUAUAGAACUUUUCAAGCCAAAUUUGAUUUCCUUUGUAUUAAAACUAAGUAUUUGAGAAAUUAUUAAUGGUCAGAAUUUUAAAAGUUCUCUCAAAUCUUUAUGACCAGACCCUUACGAGAAAUAAUUUUUAGUGGUCUGGUCAUAGAUUUUUAGUGGAAUUUUUAGAGCUCUAGAAAUAAUUUUAACCAAUUAAAAUUGAGCACAAGCAAUAUUUAAUCCCAGGAAAAUUCAUUUCCUUCUUUUUUUUCUUUUUCCCUUCUUCUCUUUCGAAUGGGCCGCCGGCCCAUUCUCUCUUCUCUCCCCCUCCCCGCUAGGCUGGCCGAAGGCCACGGCCCAGCCAGCCGCCCGAGCCCUGGGGCCCACCUGUCGGGCCCGUCUCCCACCUCCAGCCGGCGCCGCCGUGCCCCGCAACCGCCGCCGCGCCCCGCUCCCGUGACUUCCGGGCCACGUCGCCCUCGCGCCCGCGUCCCCCGCGCCCACUCCCCCUCUCUCCCGCCCGCGCCCGCGCUCGAGACGGCCGGGAUUCAAUUUUUGAAUCCCGCCUCUCUCUCCUCCCCACCUCUCCCCACUCCGCCAACGAAAUCGCGGUCUCCUGGCCACGAUCGACCCUCGUGGGUCUAUAUAAAGCACCACCGUUCUGUAACGCCCCGAUUUUCGUUCGGGUUUUAAAAUCAUUUAAUAAUACAUUUUCUAGAAAUUAAAUAAAAGUUAAAUCAAUUUAAUCAAGUAAAAUAAUGGGAGAAUUUGAAAUUUUCCUUUAAAAAUCAUUGGUCGGGAAUAUUUUGUAAUAUUCUUUGUGCCCUAAUGUACUCUCCGGAAUUUUCCGUGAAUUUUCGGAGCUCGAGAAAUAGUUUUAAUAGCACAAAGAUCAUUACAUCAAUUAAAAUAAAAAAAGAAAAACAAAUAAAAUCCUCCUUCCUCUCUUUGGGCCCCUUUCAGCCCAAUCCCCCUUUUCUCUCCCUCUCGGGCCGGCCUUCUCCCUCGGCCCGCUCGGCUCUCUCUCUCCCUCAAGUCUGCUUUACCUCCCUCGCCCGUUUUCCCCUCUCUCUCUCCCCGACAGGUGGGACCCGAGGCCCCACCUGUCAUCUUCUUCCCCAACCUCCCGUCGCCCCAACCGCCGCCAUGGCCGCCGGAUUCGCCCCACGACGCCGCGGCUCCCGCGCCCCACCCCGCCCCAUGAGUGCGUGAAAACGAUCCCCUUCACCUCCUCCACCUUUCCCCCCACUCUCCCCGCGAAAAUCGGCGCCGGUUAACCCCUCCACCACCCCACGUCGGCGCCCCACUUCGCCGGCCGAUUCCGCCACGUCCGGCCUCGAUCCCGCCUUCCCGAGCCCAUAAAAAGCACCCCCGUGCUCCCCUCGUCCAUUUCCCCUUGUUUCCCGAACCCGGCACUCUCUCCCUCGCUCUCCCCACGCCGCUCCCGCGCGCCGCCACACUUCGGCGAACUCCGGCCGCCGUUUCCCGUCACUAGGGUCGCCGCCACACUGCUCCGCCGCCACCGCCAGCUUUGCCACCGGCCGGGCAAGCUCGGCCACCGCUCCAUUUCCCCCCUCCACCUCCGUAGCGCCGUAGCCACGCGAACCACCUCUCUCCGCCGCCGCCGCCGACUCCAGCCGCGUCGCGCCGCCGCUUCGGUCGACGCCGACCCGCGCCGUUGCAAUGUUUGCUUUGUAUGUCGCUAGAUUCCGGUUCCUCCGACGCUCCGGUGUACUUCGAAAUAGUCGCCGAGGUUCCUCCAGCAGCAGAGCAAGGCAAGUCAUGCUUGUCACUUGAACAUGUUGAACCUAUAUUGCAAAUGCUCUAUUGUUUUUCUUCAAAUAUUGCAUGGUUUUAUAAUGUUACUAUGGGGUGUUUACCAAUUGUCAUAGCCAUGCUAUUGUUGUACCAUGUCCCUUUGUCAGCUUGGGGGUUAUAACAUGACUAGAGAUUGGACUAGGGAUUGCUUAGCCAUGCUUAGUUCAACUAGUGCACAAUGGGGAAAAUCCUAUUAAUGUUUAGACUGUUGGUUCUAAUGGUAUUGUUGGAUUAGUGCCACCGCUUUGGUGUUGGUUAAUUAAAAUAAAUCACAUGGUGGGCUGUGGGUGCAUGGUUUUGCUGGUCGCACCCAUGGCAGUUAAGGACCGGUUCGCGGGAUGCCCUGGAAGAACUUAGCGUACUUACCACAAGCCAGCGUGGGCAACGGCUGGGCUUGUAGCGUAGCUUUCCUCUAGCCGACGCAUCCAGGCAAGGGUGGGCGUGAUGGAGUUUGGAUGGGCCCUGCGACGGCCUAUGCGGCUUCCGGAUUCACCUAGGCACGAGAGGGGACUGCCCGCUGCCUUGCGAGGAGUGGGGGUGAAACCUGAGGUGUGGUGUGCUUGGUUAGAGGGGGUUAUGCGAAGGGUCCUGUCACGGCCUCUUUCCGGUAUGUCGUGGUGACAUGUCGGCGCACGGAAACGUGUCGUGGGGCUGUGUCUUGUGGGUACAGUUGUACACCUCUGAUCAGAGUAAAACUAUUCGAAUAGCCGUGCCCGCGGUUAUGGGCGGUCAACCAGAUUCACCGUGAUUAGUCUCACCCUAGUGUAAUCUUUUGAAUUUGGAUAGUUUAGGUGGAUGGUUGGGCCUGUCACAACGUGGGAUAGCGUUGGACAGCGGAUGAUUAAUAGUAAUUAAUUGUUACAACUGUUUAAAUCUGUCAACUUCUGUUUAUUAAUGCUCGCUUUAUGCAAAUGAACCACUCUAGCUCUCCUUUGAUAAUUCCCUACAUCAUACCCCUAUUCCGGUGUGACUUGCUGAGUACAGUGGGUAGUACUCAGUCUUGCUCUAUUUUUCCCAACCCCAGAGCACGAGUAUGGGUCAGAUGAAGGUUUCUCUGAGGAGUAGGCUUCGUCCGUGCCGUCGAGGAUGCCUGUGGAGUGGUGUUCCCGCUGCAGUUCUAGUCAAGGCUUAGCUCCUGUUGUCUUCCGUUUUUCCGCUGCAUUUAUGUAAGACUUUUAUGAUGUUUGUAAGACGUGGACCUGAAUGUCAACAUUGUCGUUUGUGUACCCCGGCCGGUCCUGGACGGGGAAUUUAAUGCACAUUCUGCUUGGAAUUCUAUUCGGGAAUUUCUGGGCGUGACAAGUUGGUAUCAGAGCCGACCUUGACCGUAGGACAAGCCAAAUGGAAAAACCUAAGAGCCCUCUGAAUCCUUUUCAUUGCAUAUGUUCUUUGCAAUUGGAUUUGUUCUGGGAAAAUUGGGAUCUGUUCUUGUGGUUCAAGGGGAAAAAUCUUGGUCGCUCGUUUAAGUGAGAUUUGUCAAAACAAGUCAGUCUAGGGUUUUAGUAAAACUAUUGAGAUUUAUUCGUCAGUCAGUUGGGAUUUGAUGGGUGAAAUGCAUUAGGUCCUAGCUCAGGAACAUGGGUUGCAAGGUAUUUAUGCUCUUAUUGUUAUUAUUAGUAUGUAUCUAAUUUCCCAUUUAUUUUAUCAUUAUGUGAGUCUGUCUUCUUUAUUCGCUCUCAUGCAAAAUGAUCUAUGCAUAAAAUUUCGCUCUUAUUCGAUUCUCUUAUUUGAGUCUUUUAUUGCUUUAUUUAAAUUUGGAUUUGAGCAUGCAUUGACCCUACUCCUUUGUCUUCUCUAGAUGGCCGGCCACCCACCCAACCACCGCGGAGAAGGCAUGAUUGACUUUGUGGCAGAGUUGGCACGUAUGACGCUGGUGGUGGGCUACCCCAACGCGCCAGAGUACACGACUGUUCCACCGCUCAGUGGCGAGCUUCCUCACCGUGUUCGCCUGGAGGUCCACGGCUACGUGGGUACCUGCCUAGCUAAUAUGGUGGUUGAGGCAUCCGGAGGCACAGCAGAUCACGCCUGUCAGGAGGCAGCAUACCUGAUGAUGGCCAGACUACGGGAGCGCCACAACUACAUCUUCCACGACACGGCGUACCGAUUUCACCCUCGUCGAGCCAGCGGUGAUGAUGUCAGUACUUUCCGUCCGACAGCCGGCGAGAACGACACUACUUUUGGUCACAUGUGUGCUGUGAUGAGGGGAUUGGAUAGGAUGCACUCGGACCUGCACAAGGCGUCCAAGGCCUUGAAUGAUGGGAAGCUCAUGAGGAUCGUCGCUCUGAAGGACGCGAUAGCGCGCCUGAAGAGGGAGAAUGCUCAGUUAAAGGGUCUUCCCGCGCCAGGAGGAGUCCGGAUCCGCACUACGCCCCGCAAGAAGACGACUGCACCCGUGCGCAUCCAGCUUGCGCCCAGGAACCCACCUCCGCCCGCAGUUCCCGCACCUCCAGUUCCGCCCGCAGCUCCGGCAGUUCCUGCAGCUCCAGCACCAGCUCCAGCUCCCGUUCACGUGUCAGCUCCCGCGUCCGCUCUCUCCUUCGCUCUAGCAUCAGCCGCCAGGGGUCCAGCCAGUGGCAACGGAGGUUGGUUGUCCGCUACUCCCAGUGGCAGCCGCGAUCUCAGCAGCAGUAGCUCCAGUGGCUCAGAGUCGGGCAGCGGCGAGACUUAUCUGCCAGGCUCCAGGAGUCGCUCAGAGGGACCUGGUGACGAGCAGGAGGACGCCUUCGACUCCACCGACCGCAGGAGCCGUUCCGAGCAUUAGGCCCGUUUUCCAUUAGUUUAUCGACUUGCUAGCUUCUGCUUGUUAGUUUGUGUGUUUAGGUUGCUUGCUUGGGGUCAGUCGACGGUCGAUAUCAUGUGCCUAUGAUAUGGCUGUCUUAAUAAGGAUUUUUGCUUGCUUUUUAAGUGUUUUAAUUCAGAUCAGAACAAUUGCAGUUUAAAUUCCUUUAUAAUAAAGCUUAGUUCCUGAGCAUCUGUUUUUCUUCUUUUCCCCCGUAUGCUCUUCCUCAAGAUGGUCUACACCAGGAAUGGUAGCCGCGCAACAGGCGAGGGCAACAACGGCGAAGAGCGCACUGAGGGUGUGCAUCCCAACAGCAAUUCCGGCAAUGGUCCGCCACCACUUCCCGAGAAUCCGACGCUAGCCCAAGUGAUGGCACAUCAGACUCAGAUGAUGGCAGCCAUGAUGCAGCAGAUGCAGCAGCAGCACCAGCAGAUGCACCAGCGGAUGCUGCAGCACGCUGAACAGCAGCAUCAGCUGUUUGGUCCCCCUCCCCCUCAGUCCAAGUUGCCAGAGUUUCUACGUGUCAGGCCACCCACCUUCUCCAGCACCACCAACCCUAUGGAGGCGAAUGACUGGCUCCAUGCCAUAGAGAAGAAGCUGAAUCUCCUGCAGUGCAAUGAUCAGGAGAAGGUUGCUUUCGCCACACACCAGCUUCAAGGUCCUGCGUCAGCUUGGUGGGACAAUCACAUGGCCACCCGCCCGCCAGGCACUGAAGUCACUUGGGCAGAGUUCUGUCGUAGCUUCAGGAAGGCGUAGGUGCCAGACGGGGUCGUGGCACAAAAGAAGAGAGAAUUCCGAGCACUCCAUCAGGGUAACAUGACUGUGACGGAGUAUCUCCAUGAGUUCAAUCGCCUCGCGCGAUAUGCACCGGAGGAUGUCCGUACUGACGCCGAGAAGCAGGAAAAAUUCCUAGCAGGUCUGGAUGAUGAGCUAACCAACCAGUUGAUAUCUGGAGAUUACGCCAAUUUCGAAAGGCUGGUGGACAAGGCAAUCCGUCAGGAGGAUCAACGCAACAAGAUGGACAGGAAGAGGAAGGCCGCUCAGUUCAGGGCACCUCAGGGAAGUCACCAGAGGCCGCGCUUCGCUCCCGGGCAGCAGGGUGGACCUACCACCAUGAUCGUCCGCCAGUACCGCCCGUUCAACCCUAGCAAUUUUCCCCAGGGCGCCAGUGGCAGUCAGAACCACCAUGGAGGUCAGCCCAACCGCGGUGCAGCUCCACGCCCACCAACGGCACCGGCACAGUCAGGCCUGUCCGCGCAAGCCAAGAAGGAGACUGGAGCAAAACCAGGGUCCUGCUUCAACUGUGGCGAGCUUGGCCACUUCGCUGACAAAUGCCCGAAGCCUAGGCGUGCCGGGCCAAGGUUUAUCCAGGCUCGUGUCAACCACGCAUCUGCGGAGGAGGCACAAGCAGCACCAGAGGUUGUACUGGGUACGUUUCCUGUUAACUCAAUCCCUGCAACAGUACUUUUUGAUUCUGGUGCAACGCAUUUGUUCAUUUCAAAGAAGUUUGUCGGGAUGCAUGGGUUAAGGAAAGAAGAGCUUAGCACACCAAUGAGGGUUCAUGCCCCGGGAAAUAGUUCAACCUCAGUCAGUUUUAGCCCUUCAGUGCUAAUAGAAAUCCAAAGAUCACCAUUUCUAGCCAACCUCAUUCUUCUCAAAUCCAAAGACCUAGAUGUCAUUCUUGGGAUGGAUUGGUUAACCCAGUUCAAGGGAGUCAUUGAUUGUGCGAAUCGCACAGUCACCUUGACCAACGAGAAGGGAGAAACAGUAGUGUACAAAUCACCAGACUCACCAAAGCAAGGGGUCUCCUUGAAUCAGAUUGAAGCGGAAAUCCCAGUGGUCACCGUGGAAAAGAAUUUGAGGAAAUUGGAAGAUAUCCCCAUAGUCUGCGAGUAUCCAGAAGUGUUCCCCGAAGACCUCACUACCAUGCCACCCAAGAGAGAGAUUGAAUUCCGGAUUGACUUGGCACCGGGAACCGCUCCAAUUUACAAGAGACCGUACAGAAUGGCGGCCAACGAACUAGCAGAGGUCAAGAAGCAGGUUGAUGAGCAGCUGCAGAAAGGGUACAUUCGACCAAGUACUUCACCUUGGGGUGCUCCGGUCAUUUUUGUGGAGAAAAAGGAUAAGACGAAGAGGAUGUGCGUUGAUUAUCGCGCACUCAACGAAGUCACAAUCAAGAACAAAUAUCCUUUGCCGCGAAUCGAUGAUUUGUUUGAUCAACUGAAAGGAGCUAAAGUGUUUUCUAAGAUAGACCUGCGAUCAGGCUACCACCAGUUGAGAAUUCGGGAAGAGGAUAUUCCAAAGACGGCCUUCACCACUCGGUACGGGCUAUAUGAGUGCACGGUUAUGUCUUUCGGACUUACCAACGCACCUGCAUUUUUCAUGAAUCUGAUGAACAAAGUGUUCAUGGAAUUUCUGGACAAGUUUGUUGUGGUAUUCAUCGACGACAUACUUAUCUAUUCAAAGUCCGAAGAAGAACAUGAGCAACAUCUCCGUCUGGUACUCGAGAAGUUGAAGGAGCACCAGCUAUAUGCUAAGUUCAGCAAGUGUGACUUCUGGUUGACGGAAGUCAAGUUUCUGGGGCAUGUCAUUACAGCUCAGGGUGUGGCAGUUGAUCCAUCGAACGUGGAGUCAGUUACCAAAUGGACCCCACCUAAGACCAUGUCGCAGAUUCGGAGUUUUCUUGGACUUGCGGGUUAUUACCGCCGAUUCAUUGAAAACUUCUCCAGGAUCGCCCGUCCUAUGACUCAGUUGCUUAAGAAAGAUGAGAAGUUUAAAUGGACAGCUGAGUGCGAUAAGAGUUUUGAGGAGCUCAAGAAGAAAUUAGUAUCCGCACCAGUUUUGAUUCUGCCCGACCAGAUGAAAGACUUCCAAGUCUAUUGCGAUGCAUCCCGUCACGGACUUGGAUGUGUCCUGAUGCAAGAGGGCAGAGUGGUUGCGUAUGCCUCGCGGCAGUUGCGUCCACACGAAGGGAAUUAUCCAACCCAUGACCUGGAAUUGGCAGCAGUGGUUCAUGCUUUGAAGAUCUGGAGGCACUAUCUGAUUGGCAACCGCUGCGAAGUAUAUACGGACCAUAAGAGUUUGAAAUACAUCUUCACCCAACCGGACCUAAAUCUCCGACAACGAAGAUGGUUGGAACUAAUCAAAGACUAUGACAUGAACAUUCACUACCACCCGGGUAAAGCCAAUGUGGUGGCAGAUGCAUUAAGCAGGAAAAGUUACUGCACUGCCCUAUGCAUCGAGGGCAUGUGUGAGAAAUUGCAGCAGGAGUUGGAGCGUCUCAACGUGGGAAUUGUUGAACACGGGUUCGUAGCCGCUCUGGAAGCACGGCCUACGCUCGUCGAUCAAGUUAGAGCCGCUCAAGUGAAUGAUGCCGAAAUAGCAGAGCUGAAAAAGAACAUGAGAGUCGGAAAGGCUCGGGAUUUCCUUGAGGAUGAACACGGCACAAUCUGGUUGGGAGAAAGAUUGUGUGUACCUGACGACAAGGAACUGAAGGAUCUGAUACUCACCGAGGCUCAUCAGACCCAGUACUCCAUUCAUCCAGGCAGCACCAAAAUGUAUUAAGACCUCAAAGAAAAGUUUUGGUGGGUCAGCAUGAGGAGAGAAAUAGCUGAAUUCGUCGCACUCUGCGAUGUUUGCCAACGAGUGAAGGUAGAGCACCAAAGACCAGCAGGUUUACUCCAACCUCUUCAAAUCCCGGAAUGGAAAUGGGAGGAGAUCGGAAUGGACUUUAUAACAGGAUUGCCCCGGACAUCAUCGGGUCACGAUUCAAUCUGGGUAGUCGUGGAUCGACUCACUAAGGUUGCUCACUUCAUACCAGUACAUACCACGUAUACGAGCAAAAGGUUGGCAGAGCUCUACCUCUCGAGAAUCAUGUGUCUACAUGGAGUACCCAAAAAGAUUGUAUCUGACCGAGGGAGUCAGUUCACCUCAAAAUUUUGGCAGAAGCUGCAGGAAGAAUUGGGGACCCGUUUAAAUUUCAGCACGGCCUAUCACCCGCAAACUGAUGGUCAGACCGAGCGAGUCAAUCAAAUCUUGGAAGAUAUGUUGAGAGCUUGCGCUCUUGAUUUUGGUGGAGCUUGGGACAAAAACUUGCCAUAUGCGGAAUUCUCUUACAACAACAGCUACCAGGCCAGUCUACAGAUGGCACCGUUCGAAGCAUUAUACGGCCGGAAGUGCCGCACACCUCUCUUCUGGGAUCAGACAGGCGAGCGUCAACUGUUCGGGACAGAGGUAUUAGCGGAAGCAGAAGAGAAAGUCAGAAUUAUCAGGGAAAGGUUGAGGAUUGCCCAGUCUCGACAGAAGAGCUACGCGGACAACCGCCGAAGGGAGCUCACUUUUGAAGCAGGGGAUUACGUGUAUCUUCGUGUCACUCCGCUCCGGGGAGUGCACCGUUUUCAAACCAAAGGCAAGUUGGCAGCACGUUUCGUGGGACCCUACAAAAUCUUGGAACGAAGGGGAGAAGUUGCUUAUCAGCUAGAACUUCCAUCCAAUAUGAUCGGCAUCCAUGACGUGUUCCACGUGUCCCAAUUAAAGAAGUGCUUAAGGGUACCCGAAGAACAGGCCUUUUCGGAGCACAUCGAUCUCUAGGAGGAUCUGACCUACGUGGAGAAGCCGGUUCGUAUACUUGAUACCAGCGAAAGAAGAACCAGAAACAAGGUCACCAGGUUUUGCCGAGUUCAGUGGAGUCACCAUUCAGAGGAGGAAGCAACCUGGGAAAGGGAAGAUGAGUUGAAAGCCGCCCAUCCGCACCUCUUCGCCAGCUCCUCCGAAUCUCGGGGUCGAGAUUCCGUUUAAGGGGGAUAGGUUUGUCACACCCCAAAGUUCUCCUCCCAAGCCUAAAGUUUAAUUUAUAAGCGACCCUAAAAAAAUACCAGUGCAAAGCAAGAGUAAACCCUUUUAAAUCAAUGCAAAUAAUAAUCGGAAGUGGCAUGUGGAAUUUUUUCUUGAGUUCUACAUGUCGAAAUCCACUAACAGGAUUUUUAGUGGAAUUUUCAGAGCCCUAGAAAUAAUUUUAACCAAUUAAAAUUGAGCAAGCAAUAUUUUAAUUCCAGGAAAAUCCUUUUCUUUUUUUCUUUUUCUUUUUCCCUUCCCCUUCCGAAUGGGCCGCCGGCCCAUUCUCUCCGUUUUCUCCCCCUCCUCCCUGCUGGGCCGGCCGCAGGCCGAGGCCCAGCCAGGCCGCCCCUUCCUCCCUCUCCCGAGCCACUGACCGGUGGGGCCCGUUUGCCGGCGCCGCGCCCCGCCUUGAUGACGUCAGCCCUGGGAAUUAUUGCGCAAUAAAUUAUUUAAGGACUUUUUGUUAUAGUAAUAAACACAGUGAAUCUUCUAAAAUUCAUAACUAAUUCAUCCGAGUUCCGUUUAAGCCAAUUCAAGUCUCAGUAAAUCAAGAAAAAUGUGUAGAAUCCAUUAAAAAUGGUUUUGUUCCCUGUUUUAGUAGUCUUAUAGCCUGUUUGCAAUGUUUGCUUUGUAUGUCGCUAGAUUCUGGUUCCUCCGACGCUCCGGUGUACUUCGAAAUAGUCGCCGAGGUUCCUCCAGCAGCAGAGCAAGGCAAGUCAUGCUUGUCACUUGAACAUGUUGAUCCUAUAUUGGAAAUGUCGUGGUGACAUGUCGGCGCACGGAAACGUGUCGUGGGGCUAUGUCUUGUGGGUACAGUUGUACACCUCUGAUCAGAGUAAAACUAUUCGAAUAGCCGUGCCCGCGGUUAUGGGCGGUCAACCAGAUUCACCGUGAUUAGUCUCACCCUAGUAUAAUCUUUUGAAUUUGGAUAGUUUAGGUGGAUGGUUGGGCCUGUCGCAACGUGGGAUAGCGUUGGACAGCAGAUGAUUAAUAGUAAUUAAUUGUUACAACUGUUUAAAUCUGUCAACUUCUGUUUAUUAAUGCUCGCUUUAUGCAUAUGAACUACUCUAGCUCUCCUUUGAUAAUUCCCUGCAUCAUACCCCUAUUCCGGUGUGACUUGCUGAGUACAGUGGGUAGUACUCAGUCUUGCUCUAUUUUUCCCAACCCCAGAGCACGAGUAUGGGUCAGAUGAAGGUUUCUCCGAGGAGUAGGCUUCGUCCAUGCCGUCGAGGAUGCCUGUGGAGUGGUGUUCCCGCUGCAGUUCUAGUCAAGGCUUAGCUCCUGUUGUCUUCCGUUUUUCCGCUGCAUUUAUGUAAGACUUUUAUGAUGUUUGUAAGACGUGGACCUGAAUGUCAACAUUGUCGUUUGUGUACCCCGACCUGUCCUGGACGGGGAAUUUAAUGCACAUUCUGCUUGGAAUUCUAUUCGGGAAUUUCUGGGUGUGACAGAGCUCCUCCUUCCUCGGUCGCCGAUCGAGGCCGAGCCCGUCCGCCCCAUCCCGAGCGACGCCCGUCGCCGGAGCUCCGUCGCGUCGUCUUCCUGAGGAGCCCCGCCGCCACCGUUCCUUGCCGUCGGCCGCCCCUUCGCCGUCGUGCAUCUCGGUGAGCACUCCCCUCCCUCUCUCUUUUCCUCCCCUUCGUCAGCCGCCUCCAGGUCGUCCUCGCGACGCGCUGCCACCAUCGGUGGCCGUCCGACCGGGUCGCUGCCGCCGCGCUCCGCGCUCCGUGCCCGCGCCGUUGCCGGUGGUGCCGGGCAGACGGUUGCCGCCUCCCCCUUGCCGCGCCGCGCCGCUGCUCUCGCGUGCGCCGCUUUCGCCCGCGGGAGCUGUCGCCGGCCGUCGCCGCGGGUGGCCGCGCCGCCGCGCGCCGUCGUUUGGCCAGCCGACUUUGUGCCGUGCUGUGCCCCAGCCGCGCCGCCCCUGGCAGCCUGAUCGGCUUGGGCCGAUCCGGACCGUCGGUUCCCGUGGACCGGCGGUGGACCGCCUCGGUGGUCCCGGUCCACGGUGGACCGGCGCCCUUGUGCCGCUGACCGGUGGGGCCCGCUUGCCGGAGCCGCCCCUCCCCUUUGAUGACGUCAGCAACCCUCUUUUCCUUUGGAAAAAUAAAUAAUAAUUGCGUCAUAAUUCGUUAAUAAUUCUAGAAAUUCAUUUAAAUGUCUCAAAACUUCUAAAAUUCAUAUCUAAUUCAUUCAAACUCCGAAUUGAGCCAUUCAACUUGCAAAAUUCAUCUAAAAUUGAGCUCUACAUGUUUGUUUACUUUUUAUGUACUGUUUCCUUGGUUUUUAUUAGAGUUUUUCCUUGUUUUGCGUGCUAGCGUGUAGAAUCCGUCGUUUCGGAAGUCCGCAGUCGCGAGGAAAAGAGUCCGGAAGAUUGUUUUGAAGAAGCAAGGCAAGUCACACAUUCCCCUUGAGCAUGUUGAUCCCAAUUUAUAAAUGUUUUACCGGUUACAAAUAAAUAUGCAUGUUUUGCUAAUUACAUGGGAUCAGGGUUUACCUAUCUGCUCGCUUGUGCCAUGUUUACUUGAUAUCUGUCCUUUGUCAACCGUGGGUAAUAAAUCGCCUAGCUUGUGUUACUUUGAUGACCUAGCUAGAACUAUAUGCUUAGCCAUGCUUAAUUACCACUAGCUCAGUCGAUGGGAUAAUUGCAGUAUUAGACAUUCUAGUAUCUUGUUGAGCUGCGUGCUCGAGACAUCUGGCCAAGUUCUAUGGUCGUAAUUAUCCAACUAAAAUGUGACUGAAUGGUGGGCUGUGGGUGCAUGGUUUUGCGAGUCGCACCCAUGGCAAUUAAGGACCGGUUCACGGGAAACCCUGGAAGACUUACAGUGCUUACCACAAGCGGGAGUGGGUAACUGCUUGAUCUGAAGUAUAGCUCGACCCUUUCCUAGGCAUCGGUGGCGAGGGUGGGCGUGAUGGAGUUGGGUCGGCCGGGGUGUCCGGUUGUCCAGUUGCCGGAUUCACCUCGGCGCAAGAGGGGACCGCCCACUGCCUUUUGAGGGGUGGGGGUGAAACCUUAGCGUGGUGUGGAUGGUUAGGGGAGGGUUAUGCGGAGGGUCUCGUCACAAUCACUCGACAUGGUGACGUGUGCAUCAUGGGCACAUGAUGACGCGGUGACAUGUCGGUGGGUUGUGUCUUGUGGGUACAGUUGUGCACCUCUGGCCAGAGUAAAACUAUUCGAAUAGCCGUGCCCGCGGUUAUGGGCGAUCGACCAGAUUCACCGUGAUUAGUCCCAUCUUAAUAAAUCGACCCAAUGCACUGUAGUACAGGUGGGUUGGUUGGGCCUGUUCAACGUGGUGUAGCGUUGAUCAGUGGAGAUUUAAUGUUACUUUAGUUACUCAACAGUUUUACGGUUUUGCUCAAUAAAAUGUUUUACAACCGCCUUUAUGCAAAUAGCCACAAACCAUCCUUGUAUCCCCUUGCACAUCUGCAUCGUUGGUGUGGCUUGCUGAGUACGGUGGUUGUACUCAGUCUUGCUAUUAUUCCCCUUUUUUCAGAAGUGUAGUGCUUUUGAGCUGAAGACGAAGUUAGAGGACCAAGGCUCAGACCCCAGUUGAGUUUUGCCUGUGGAGUGGAGCUGAAGCCCCGCUAGGAUCGCCUUUUACCGCUGCUGCUGCUUUCGUUUCGGUGCGAGGACUAAGUGCCUCUUUUGUAAGUAUUUUACGCUUUAUUUACGUUUGGAACUGUAUAUUACUUGUCGUUUUGUGUACCCUGGCUGGUCCUGGACAGGGAUUUAAUACGCAAAAUAGUCUGGAAAUUUGGGUUAAAUUUCUGGGCGUGACACGUUCCCUCCUCUCUCUUUUUAUUUUUGCAAUCGCCCGCUCCCGUGCACUCCACCGCCUUAGCGCCGUCGUCCUCCUCUCCGCCGCCGCCGCUGCCGCCGCCGCUCCGGUCGCCACUAGCCGCCGUGCCGAGCCGCACCGUCGACGUCGUCGCGUUCGCCGUCGUGCGAGCCGUCCCGUCCACCCCUCCUCCGUAGUAAUCCGCCGCUAGAACCCCGCCCGUGCCACGCGCCGGUGAGCUUCGCCAUGGCCGGCGCCUUCGGUCGCCGCCCUACCCAUCCAUGGUUUCCCUCUCCCUCUCUAACUCAUCUAUCUUCUACCCUAUAGUUGAACAAAUGGUUUCACUUAUCACUCAUCACUCAUUCUUUCAUUCCUCGUGGAACGGUUCGGAUCAUCUCUGUGUAAAAUCCAACGCUCAGAUCCUCUCCACCUCGCACCUCUCAACUGCGCCCCCUCCCCCAUCCCAGCCCACGCCUCCCCAGCCCUAAUCUCUCUUCUCUCCCUCUCAUGCAACGCCAGCCCGCCACCGAUCUCCACCAUCACGCCGCCCCUGCCGCGAUUCACGUCGCCGCCGACCCCAGCCGCCCCUCUCUCCCCGCCGCGUGCCGCCCCUCUCUCCAUCGCCGUCCGUUGUCCAUCCGGAUUUCUCGAUCCCAUCGCCGUCCGUUCUCCAUCCGGUCGCCAUUGCGCCGCCGUCGAUUCCCGCCUCCAGAUUGAUGCCGCCGGCGCACCCUCGCGCUGACCGCGUUCCGCCAUCGGAUCGCUCGCCGUCCUGUCUCCACCGCGCAGCCAUCAGGUCGUCGUCAAUCACUCGUUAUCCGAUCUCAUCAUAGGUAAGUGUUAAGUUAGGUCAAUGUGUUAGGGCCAACUAAUAUUUAGAUUGAUUAAAUACCGACAUAUUUUCCAAUGCAUUCAUUGUGAUCUGGAGACUAUUCAGAAAGAAAUAAAUUUAAUGUUAUGCAUUAUGUAGAAAAACAGGGCAUCUGAUAGUUUACUCUACUUAGGUGCUGCUGCUGAAUUUUAUUUUGUAAGCAAUUAACAAUCUGUGAGAUGGGGAAGGAAGUUAGCCUAGAUCUUACUCCUUUUCACUAAGAUCUAGGCUAAUGUUGAUCACGACCAGGCAUUAUUACACCACAAAAAAAUACACAAAAAGAUUACUGCUAGCACCAUGUGACAAUUCCAUGGGCUGUGCAGCAGGGGAGUCGUUAAACCAUCAGGCUUGCCUUGGCGAUCCUGACCUGGAGCGAGGAAGACUGAUGCAGCCAUUGCCGCCAUCACCACCUUUGGCACGCAAAUGGAACCUAUCCACCAUGCCCCUUGACUGCAAAUUUCAGUAUGGAUGUUUCUUACUAUAUCCGUCUGAUGACAUGGAUUUCUUGAAACCCCAAAGAAUGGGUGCCUUUCAGUAUAUUCCGAUUGUCAAACUUUUACAUAAUGCAAGUUUGUUAUUUCCCACAAGUGUAGUUGGGACGAUUAAAAAAAAGUUAAAAUCCACUGAAAAUCAAAGCAUCUCUAUGGAAUGUGUGUAGGAAAGUAGUAAUUCAGACAAAACGAUAGCUUGCUUAUGAGAAAUUCUUAUUAUGCUGUUGAGCUGCAGUGGUAAAUAAUGUGUUCAGUCCGUUGUUCUCACUGUUCUCACUGUCUUUAUCCUGACUGAUAUUUCGUACAAAUAUACAACUCGUCGCCAAAACUCUCAAGGUAAGAGACACGUAUUUCGGCAAUGACCUGCAUUCAUUACUCAAAAGGGAGGGAUUUGCCAUGAUAGCAAGCACCGAGCCUAGCCUAGAGAUAACAUAUUCCAGAAAUUACCUGCAAAGGAGCCGUCUUUGGCUUCCUGCCCUCCGGCUCGGUGGCGUAGUAGCAUCCGAUCCCCCUAGCAGGCCAGCCCGCUGGAUGCUUAAGCGGUGAGAUGCGGCGAAGGAGAGCCUGAUGCCGCCUCCACAUCUUGGCUGUUGAACGGAAUUAUGUUCAAAUUAUGUUAUGUGUAUAAUGCAAGUACUACUUGUCAGUCAUUUCAUGCAGAGGAUAUUUACCUCAACAAAAGCUUUGUAGUAACUCUUAAUUGUUGGGUUAGAGAAGUCGUAUUUAUAGGCUAAUUGUCAAACUAAUGUUUUGUCAUUUUUUCUGCCGUUAUACUAAUUUCAGACCUACCAUGCAUUGAGGCCUAACAUGCCUGUAUAUACAGAACUAUCAUGUGUUUACUCAACUGGGAACACAUGAGUAUUGGAUCGUCAAAUGCAAUUCACAGAGUAUUGGAUAGUGCAAUGGAUAAUCAUAUCUUCAAAUUCAUGAAUCAUAUAGAGAGAAAAGAAUAAAAUUAUGACAAAUUUAUAGCCUUUUAUAUAUGUUACCCUUACGAUUUAUUCACUGUUUAAGAAUGGACCGAGGCGUAUAUCCUCUUCAAAUAGCAAGCUUUCAAGGGAUCUGUUUGUCAAUAUGAAAUCAAAGAAGAAACAAUGUUUGUUGGUAAGUAAAUACACUAUGUUUGCAUUGACAAGGAUAAACUUGGAGCAAACAUAACUGUAGUUGCUAUGAUCCAAAAUUGUUCUCUGUGCAUCGGGUACAAUGGAGCAAACAUGUUUUUCACUUCCUUCGCAGGAUAACAUGACAAGCAAAAGGAAUCUCUUCAUAUCAUUGGACGAUGACAAGCAAAAUGAAGGGUUCCGGCUUCAAGGUUUAAGUUGUGACUACCUUCUCGUAUAAUUGUUGGAUGUCAUACUUAGAGUGUUAUAGAUUUCAGAUUAUUGUCAUAGAACAAAUUAAAUUUCGUUUACCUCCUUUGUAUUCCAAGAUUUGUGAAUAUGCCUUCUCCUUUAUUUAUGAGGCCGUGCAAACAUAUUCUGAAGAUCAAAAUGUCUUGAGUUACAGAAAACUAGCCUUGCACUGACCAUGACUGCUUUAAUGGAUCGAUGAUGAUCGAACUGUGAUGGUGUGUAUGCAAUAUGUUGCCUUGUUAUUGAUCUGUAGCAAACAAUAUGUGUUUCACUACUGGUCAAAGAUAGUGAUAGUUAUUACCUGCACAGUAUUUAUAUAUUGUACAGAACUACCUACUUUGGACUUAUUUAUGUGCGUACAACAGAUUGUACAGAACAGAUUGACUUAUUUAUAUAGUGAUAGUUUUUUUAAUUUUUGCUUGAUCUUAUAACUAUGCAAUAUAGUCUUGUAUAUAUUUUUGGUUGUUUGAAUUGUGUUAUUAAAUGUCACUAUAGCGUUAGCAGGUUGCUUGAAUUAUGUUAUUAAAUGUCACCGUAGCGGUAGCACGGGCAAAUUACUAUCCCUUUUGAUCCCUUAGGUGGUCCCGGAGCUCGUCUCGCCGUCGCCAUCACCCUCUGUCGCUCGCCGUCGUCGAUCGUCGUCGGUGAGGCCCCUCCUCCCCUUUCUCCCUCUCUCCCGCACCGCUUAGUCGCUGCGCCGCCGCCCUCUGCCGUCGGCCGGUCGCCGCCUCGCGCCGCCGCGGGCCAUGGCCGCCGGGCUGGCUUGAGCCGUGCCCGUGCACGCCGGCCGCGAGCCGCAUCCGCCGUCUGAUCUACCGAGCGGUAGAUCGGGGCCAUCCGAUCCCGUCGCCCGCGUGGCUGCCAUGAGGCCGCCACGUGCGCGCCACGUGUGCACCACGUGGUGCACCGCCCCUUUUCCCCGGUCCAUGGACCCGAUCCACCAUGGACCAGCGCCCGCAGCCACUGCCAUGUGGGGCCCGCAUGUCGGCGUCGCCUCUCUCUCUCUCUCCCGGGAUUUAUUUAUUGCGCAAUAAAUAAAUUAAGGAUUUUUUUCUGUUAUAGUAAAAAUACAGUGAAUCUUCUAAAAUCAUAUCUAAUUCAUCCGAGCUCCGUUUAAGCCCAUUCAAGUCUCAGUAAUCAAGAAAAAUGUAUAGAAUCCAUUAAAAAUGGUUUUGUUCUCUGUUUCAGUAGUCUUGUAGCCUGUUUGUAUUGUUUGCUUUCUAUGUCGUCUAGAUUCCGGCUCUCCCGACGCUCCGGUGUACUUUGAAAUAGUCGCCGAGGUUCCUCCAGUAGCAGAGCAAGGCAAGUCAUGCUUGUCACUUGAACAUGUUGAUCCUAUAUUGGAAAUGCUCCAUUGUUUUCCUUCAAAUACUGCAUUGUUUUAUACUGUUACCAUGGGAUGUUUACCUACUGUUAUAGCCAUGCUAUUUUGUACCAUGUUCCUUUGUUAGCUUGGGAUAUAACAUGAUUAGAUAUUGGACUAGGGAUUGCUUAGCCAUGCUUAGUUCAACUAGCACACAAUGGGGGAAAUCAUAUUAAUGGAUAGACUUCAGGUUCUAGUGUUGAUGUUGGGUUAGAGCCACCGUCCUGGUGUCGCUUCAUUAAAAUAUGUUAAAUGGUGGGCUGUGGGUGCAUGGUUUUGCUAGUCGCGCCCAUGGCACUUAAGGACCAGUUCGCGGGAAACCCUGGAAGAAUUCCUCGUACUUACCACAAGCCAGCGUGGGCAACGGCUGGGCUUGUAGUGUAGCUUUCCUCUAGCUGACGCAUCCAGGCAAGGGUGGGCGUGAUGGAGUUUGGAUGGGCCCUGCGACGGCCUAUGCGGCUUCCGGAUUCACCUAGGCACGAGAGGGGACUGCUCGCUGCCUUGCGAGGAGUGGGGGUGAAACCUGAGGUGUAGUGUGCUUGGUUAGAGGGGGUUAUGCGAAGGGUCCUAUCACGGCCUCUAUCCGGUAUGUCGUGGUGGCAUGUCGGCGCACGAAAACGUAUCGUGGGGCUGUGUCUUGUGUGUACAGUUGUACACCUCUGAUAAGAGUAAAACUAUUCGAAUAGCCGUGCCCGCGGUUAUGGGCGGUCAACCAGAUUCACCGUGAUUAGAUUCACCCUAGUCUAGUCUAAUGGAAUUGAAUAGUAUAGGUGGAUGGUUGGGCCUGUUGCAACAUGGUAUAGCGUUGGACAGUGGAUGAUUAAUAUUGAUUAAUUAUUAUAAUUGUUUUACUGCUUCCAACUACUGUUUAUAAAUGCUCGCUUUAUGCAAAUGAACCUCUAUAACUAUCCCUUGAUAAUUCCCUGCAUCAUACCCCUAUUCCGGUAUGACUUGCUGAGUACAGUGGGUAGUACUCAGUCUUGCUCUAUUUUCCCCAAACCCCAGAGUUUGAGUAUGCGUUAGAUGGUGGCUUCUCCGAGGAGUAGGCUUCGUCCGUGCCGUCAAGGAUGCUUGUGGAGUGGUGAUCCCGCUGCGGUCCAAGUCAUGGCUUAGCUCCAGUUAUCUUUUAAUUUUCCGUUGCAUUUAUGUAAGGCUUUAUGAUGUUUGUAAGACGUGGAUCUGUAUGUCAAUUUUGUCGUUUGUGUACCCCGGCCGGUCCUGGACGGGGGUUUUAAUGCACAUUCUGCUUGGAAUCCUAUUCGGGAAUUUCUGGGCGUGACAGAGGGGUUGGCGGCCGCCGCGGCAGCAAUGGAGCUGACGACGACGCUGCCGGAUCUAGCAGCUCCUCCCAUCCCCUCCCCUCCCUUUCCUCUCCCUCUCCUAGAUCUAGCCGGAGGGAGGGGCAGCGGCCGCCGCGGCGGCGACGGCAGGCGGGCAGCGGCGGAGCUGACGACGACGACGCUGCCGGAUCUGGCGGCUUCUCGCCUCCCCUUCCCUCCCCUCCCUCUCCUUCUCCCAGAUCUAGCCGAAUGGAGGGGGUGGUGGCCCCCGCGGCACCGAUGGCAGGCGGGCGGCGGUGGAGCUGACGACGAUGACCGCGACCGCGGUGACGGGGCCGAUGGUGGCGGUGGCUAUGUCGCGGGAGGGGACGGGGCCGAUGGUGGCUAGGGUUCCAUUGCUAGAUGUGAUUUUUUUUGUGCAUGUUGUUCCAGAUGAUGCCUAUGUUGUGAUUUGUAUUUCAUGUUUGAUUUGUGUAAAUGAUGUUUGAUCUGUGUAAAUGAUUUGUAUUUCAAAUUUCCUCUUUGCUGGUGGCUAGGGCAGCUGCAUUGGGUCUUUUUUUCUUGGCCCAAAAUAGAUUUUCGCUGGCGGUUGAUGCCGCCAGCAAAAAUGAAUUAUCGCUGGCAGUCGGUGUAAGACAUCCGCCAGUGAAAAUGGAUCUUUGCUGCCUUGCUGGCGGAUGGCUUAAGACGGCUACUAGUGAAAUUGAAUUAUCGCUAGCAGUCGAUAACCGCCAGCGAAGAUCUUGUUUUUCACUUGCCUUUGCUUUGUGGUGUCUCCAAAUUCCGCUAACGAAAACCCAAAAUGGCCACCACGAAAGAUGGUUUUCGUAGUAGUGUACAAUAUAUCACAACUAAUACCCAAACCCCAAUAUUAAUUUACUCUCACAUCUUCUUUCACUUUUCUUAGAGAUUGUGUGGAGGUUGCCCCUUGCACGAGAUGUGGCUCAUUCUCUUUCUCCUAACUUCUCUCCUUCACCUCAUCGUAUAAUCCUAUAUACAUGUAGAGGCUUGUAGUACUUCGCCCUCACACGCUCAAGAGAUGGCAAAUUGGCAAUCCAAUGAUAAAUCCUUAGACCUCAUUAAAUUCCUAUUGAACACUCAUCCGUCUGUGUGUAAUCACGAGCAUUAAGAUUUUAAUAUGGUUGGUGGCUCAUCACUCUACUAUGACACAAUUAACUUAGAGACCUAGGCUUUGUUUGGAACAAAUCUUUCCCAAGUUCUAUCUUUUUCUUCCACGCAAUGCUAAGCUGCUAAAUGAUGGGUUUUGAAAAAAAAUAUAGGAAAGUUACUUUAAAAUAUAAUAUUAAUCUAUUUUAAGUUUUAAAACAAUACUUACCUCGUUUUCCACGUCAAUAAGAUGGGUUCGAAACGUGCACUCUCGUACUCAGCCUUAUCAUGUUAAUUUUGUGUUAAUAUAUUGUUUGCUAAGAGAAUUAAUACUUGCUGGCGAAGAGGCAACGCAUCAUCCUUUACAAAACAGCUAGUGAUUCUCGCAACAGACUGCAUGCUUUCAACUAUUUAUCUAAUAAACUUGUCCAUUCAUCAGAAAAAAUAGAAGAGAAAAUCCUUUGCCGGGAUCUCGGUAGUGGAUUGUGAAUCAUCCAUGUGUGGGUUCAACUCCCGUAGUUCGCCCAUCACUUUAUUUUAAAUUCCAUAAAUAUAAUUUUCUAUAUACCUAAUUAUUUUUUUAUUCAUUUAUUCAUUUAUUGAACAUAUAAGAUAUAAGUAUUGCAUGCCAAACAAAUGAAUUUUGCAUUACUAGAAUUAACCCAUGUUUUCUUUUUUUUAAAAAAAAGUAGAGAAUCAACCCAUGUGUUUUGUGCACAAUUCUUGAAUUCCAAACUACUAGACUUUAAAUUAGGCGUGACUUUUGACUCGAACGCUUCAAUUUUCUUAAGAUAAUGGACGAAAGUCUGCCUUCAAUUCAACAAAAGCUACAACCAAUUAUUACAUAAUUAUUGGCUUAAAGCCCCGAAACUUAGCUACCAUAAAAUGAAAUGGAAGACAAAUAACAACUCCACCAAAAGAAGUGAUAUAACUUAUUCAAACAACAAUCCUAUUAGAAAAUAGGCAUCCAAAGUCGGCGAAAAUUUGCAUAAUUGUAAUUUCUAAAUUUAGGCAUGGAUUCCUUCUCCUCAUCACUCAUUUGUAGAUUUGCCCAAAAUCAAAGCUAAUAUGUUUCUCUAAGAGUAACUGCAUAUAAGAUUUAGUUGGAGUUUUAUAAAAAAAAUUAUAUCAUUCCUACUUAGCCAUAGAACCUAACAUAAAGUAGAUGCUCCUACUUAUAUAAUUUUUUUUGUUUUUGAGUCUAUGUAAACAAGCCAAUUUAGGGGUGGCAACGGGGCGGGCGAACUAGGCUGGAACGCCCCCACCCUCACAAAGGCAAUGAGUGAAAAACAUCACCCACCUCCACCCCCGCACAGGACCCGGCGGGUGAGCAUGGCCCCGCAUUGCCAACAUAAUUAUAAAUCACAAAAAUAGACCUCAAAUUGCUUCUGAUAGCAAUUCAGAGAGAGGCGCGGUUGCGCGGAGAAGGGCGGUGAACAGCAGGGCUGGGUGGUGGAGAUGGAGGUGGGGCGGUGGCCGUGACGGUGAUAGCCCCUAGCAGUGGUGAUCCAGAUCCAGAGGCCGACGGAGGAGAGUGGCACCGCAGGAAGGAAGCACAUGCAUUCUACCCGAGCGUAGGUGGAGGGCG
rnacentral:lncRNA from 1 species